GACGAACGCUGGCGGCGUGCUUAACACAUGCCAGUCGAACGGAAAGGCCCUGCUUUUGUGGGGUGCCCGAGUGGCGAACGGGUGAGUAACACGUGAGUAACCUGCCCUUGACUUUGGGAUAACUUCAGGAAACUGGGGCUAAUACCGGAUAGGAGCUCCUGCUGCAUGGUGGGGGUUGGAAAGUUUCGGCGGUUGGGGAUGGACUCGCGGCUUAUCAGCUUGUUGGUGGGGUAGUGGCUUACCAAGGCUUUGACGGGUAGCCGGCCUGAGAGGGUGACCGGCCACAUUGGGACUGAGAUACGGCCCAGACUCCUACGGGAGGCAGCAGUGGGGAAUAUUGCACAAUGGGCGGAAGCCUGAUGCAGCAACGCCGCGUGCGGGAUGACGGCCUUCGGGUUGUAAACCGCUUUCGCCUGUGACGAAGCGUGAGUGACGGUAAUGGGUAAAGAAGCACCGGCUAACUACGUG
rnacentral:rRNA from 1 species